UAGUUAGCUAGCAACUGAAUUUUUGUUUUUAUAAGACCUGAUAAAAGAAUGUGUUAAACAUAAAAUGUGUCUAGAAGGGAGACAAAUUUAAUGGUUACAAAGAUGAAAUUACGACACCAAACAAAAAUGUUAGAAGGAAUUCAUUUUCAGCAUUAAUAAUAUUUAUUUUUAUUAAGUUUAAUAUAGAUAGUGUAGUUUAGUAUGCUGCUGCUUAUGUAACAUUAUUAUUUGUGUAUAUAUAUUAGUGUAGUUGUCAACAACAUUGUAGUAGCAAGCGUAGUCUG
rnacentral:lncRNA from 1 species